UACGUAGGGUGCGAGCGUUAAUCGGAAUUACUGGGCGUAAAGCGUGCGCAGGCGGUUCGUUAUGUCCGUUGUGAAAGCCCCGGGCUCAACCUGGGAAUGGCAAUGGAAACUGGCGGGCUAGAGUGUGGCAGAGGGAGGUGGAAUUCCACGUGUAGCAGUGAAAUGCGUAGAGAUGUGGAGGAACACCGAUGGCGAAGGCAGCCUCCUGGGCCAGCACUGACGCUCAUGCACGAAAGCGUGGGGAGCAAACAGG
rnacentral:rRNA from 1 species